rnacentral:lncRNA from 1 species
CCGUGCUUAUACUGAUAUGCGUCAGGAAGCCUGUCUUCCCACAUGCCAACUUGUACAUGUACAGCGAGCUAGAAGUAGUUUCGUGUGUGCCUGGAGAAUCACAGAAAUUUUAACCGAAACAACGUUUGACACGGGUCCUGAAAGAUGAAGAAGUUCGAAGAGAUCUUGGUGUACACAGGUGGUGGUAUCCAAGGCAUGGAGCGUGGGAUGGGACAGGACAGGAUCAGAAAGAUGCUCACAGCAUGGAGCCAUUUAAGUGUUCCACUGCAGAAGCAAGCAUGGAAGAAGCAGUGAAGUUGUAACUGGAGGAGACAAAGCCAUGCGAUGCGAGCUUUGAGAGGGGCUGCAGUGAAGCAACCAACACCAGUGAACUGUUGUGCGCUCGAGGUUACUGAAGCAUGCAAAGCAUGGACUGGAUGCAAACCUUCAAGAGCAAACCUUCAAGAGCUACUUAACAAGCAUGCCGUUGAUCAACUGAACUUCUCUGAACCUCAGGUGGACAUCAUAAACUACAGAUUAAUCUUCCAUUCCUGAUGUCACUACCUGAUGUCAAUGUGUUGGCAUUUUUCAUGACUGGAUGGACUCGUCUCUUGGAAAUUGGCAUUUGGAGGACCAAAAAAUGCAUAGUGAUAAAUACUGCCCCAGUAAAGACAGAGAAUGUCAACUAAUGUUUGACGCCAAAUCACAUUGUGCUGAUUGUAGUUUUUUGUAAUAUUUUCAAACCAUUCGUUAAAGAAUUCGUUUUAAAAACAAAACACUUUGACCUUCUUGAGUUAACUGGGUUAUUUAUGACAACUGCCGUUAGGUUGCUCAGUUGUAUUAAAACCAGGCACAUACAUGUAGUAUACCAAACCCAAAAUCAAGCCUCAUUGGAAUUAGUUUGAAACGUCAGCUUAGCUGUGUAGUUCACUUAUAUAAAAACAUAUUUAGUCACAGCUCCAAUUGUUUUUAAAAACAUUAAUGUGGAAAUUGUACUCAGGCUAUACGUAGACAUGCAAAGUACAUGUAUUUCAUUCUUAUUGUCAUUUAUAACUCACAGUAAAGUCCAUCAGUGAGUGCUGUUGUCAACCAUUAGUGGAAAAAGUCAACAGUUCUUGGUAUCCUGCUUCGUGACAGUUUGCGAAGACUGUACAUGUGUUAUCAUUAACCUAGUUUCACUUGUGCAAAAUGCAAGAUAUAUGUCAUGAAGCUUUUUGAGCAACUAAUUAUGUACUGCAGUAGUUUGAUAGAAAAAGUAUUGUGGUCCUUCUGUUUAAGGUUUGUUCUUUUUGUAAUACAAUCCACAGAAAUAGUCCUUUUUACAAAGUUCAGUGCUUUCUCACUUGUUACAUGUACUUUAUCAUUGUAUUUUAACACUGCCAUUUGAUCUACUGACUGAGGUGUUUGCGAGUAUGUGCCUGGUUUCAUCGUAUUAAUUUGAUGUAAAUAAGCUAAGAAAUCCUUUCUGUUCACUUUUUUAUGUCAAGAUUUACUUAAAUUCAUAUUUCAAAUCGUUCACAUAUAAUGCACACUAGUACAUCAUAUGAUCAUAUGUAUUAUCUUUGAAUUGCUCCUCUAAGAAAGAAAGUGUUGAAUUUGUUUCAUGUUUGUAUUGAGAUGUGCAAAUCUGCACCCAAAACACAUAUUUAUGCCAAAGCUUUUAUGUAUGUAUCAUUUGAUGUGCUAGUGUCCAUGUGCUCGUUUUGAUGUAAUUGCUUUGAUAAAUAAAAAGGGUUUUUGCUGUUUUGUUCUUAUUUUAAACAUCUGCUGUCUAUUUCAGGGUUUCGCAGUUGGGGAGGCUUUUGAAAAAAGGAUUUGCAAACAACUUAUGACACUGCAUACAUUCUAUUACUUUUUUUAUGGACAAGCUUUAUGAAAAAGGCAAGUUAUUUAACAAUUGGCCUGAAGUGGACAAUAAGCAGUCAAUGGUGCACCUCAGAAAACGUGAAAUAGACAGCAGAUGCACUGAUCUUUUGGGAAUAGUGUAUUUUUAGAACACACACACACACUGCACCUUCCAAUUCACCACCAUUGGAACACCCUUGGUGGUUGAAGAAAUUGCUCUUUAAUGCUGCCUCCAAUAGAGGGCGCUCUUACUGAACAUAUAUCCAGAGGCGUGCAAUAAAAAAAGCAAGACUAAGAAAAUACCUUUGUGUUUUCAGUUUAUUUUGUCUGUGCAUGUCAACCUAUAUGAACCUUGGUCUCACCCUUGACUUGACCUUUGAACUUUGACCCAACCUUCCAACUUUGACCCGACCUUCGAACUUUGACCUGACCUCCGAACUUUGACCCGACCUUUGAACUUUGACCUUUCAACUGGCC